UGGGGAAUUUUGGACAAUGGGCGCAAGCCUGAUCCAGCAAUGCCGCGUGCAGGAUGAAGGCCUUCGGGUUGUAAACUGCUUUUGUACGGAACGAAAAAGCUCUCUCUAAUACAGGGGGUGAAUGACGGUACCGUAAGAAUAAGCACCGGCUAACUACGUGCCAGCAGCCGCGGUAAUACGUAGGGUGCAAGCGUUAAUCGGAAUUACUGGGCGUAAAGCGUGCGCAGGCGGUUUUGCAAGUCAGAUGUGAAAGCCCCGGGCUUAACCUGGGAAUUGCGUUUGAAACUACAAGACUAGAGUGCAGCAGAGGGGAGUGGAAUUCCAUGUGUAGCAGUGAAAUGCGUAGAGAUGUGGAAGAACACCGAUGGCGAAGGCAGCUCCCUGGGUUGACACUGACGCUCAUGCACGAAAGCGUGGGGAGCAAACA
rnacentral:rRNA from 1 species